AGCAGCCGCGGUAAUUCCAGCUCCAAUAGCGUAUAUUAAAGUUGUUGCAGUUAAAAAGCUCGUAGUUGAAUUUCGGGGUCAAUACGUCGGUCGUGCCUUCGGUACGUACUGGUGUUAUUGAUCUCUCCCUUCUGAUGAAUCAUGAUGUCAUUAAUUUGGUGUCGUGGGGAGUCAGGACUGUUACUUUGAAAAAAUUAGAGUGUUUAAAGCAGGCUUACGCUUGAAUACAUUAGCAUGGAAUAAUGAAAUAGGACGUUCGAUCCUAUUUUGUUGGUUUCUAGGAUCAACGUAAUGAUUAAUAGGGAUAGUUGGGGGCAUUAGUAUUCAAUUGUCAGAGGUGAAAUUCUUGGAUUUAUUGAAGACUAACUACUGCGAAAGCAUUUGCCAAGGAUGUUUUCAUUAAUCAAGAACGAAAGUUAGGGGAUCGAAGACGAUCAGAUACCGUCGUAG
rnacentral:rRNA from 1 species